GUCGGACGCGGAAAAAGCCCCGAGAUCGGUUCGCGCCGGGUCAAUUGCCCGAUGCGGUCGGUCUGAUCGUGAUCUCGGUGGUGUCCACGCUCUGCGGGGCCUCGAUCACCUGCCGGACCGCACGGGCGAUGUCGGCAGGCUGAAGCGCGAUGGCGC
rnacentral:sRNA from 1 species